rnacentral:rRNA from 1 species
UACGGAGGGUGCAAGCGUUACUCGGAAUCACUGGGCGUAAAGGACGCGUAGGCUGUUUAGCAAGUCAGAUGUGAAAUCCAAUGGCUCAACCAUUGAACUGCAUUUGAAACUGCUAGACUAGAGUAUGGGAGAGGGUGGUGGAAUUCCCGGUAUAGCGGUGAAAUGCGUAGAUAUCGGGAGGAACAUCAGUGGCGAAGGCGACCGCCUGGCCCAACACUGACGCUGAGGUGCGAAAGCGUGGGUAGCAAACAGGAUUAGAAACCCGGGUAGU